GGGCAGCACCCCCUUUUUGCUGCCUUUCCAGGGAGAGCAGCAAGAGAAAGAAAGAGAGAGGCAAGCGAAAUUCCUGAAUGGAUAGACAGAUGCUACGUCAUCCGGAGCUGCGUCCUCCACUCCACAAGAGGCUAGGAGCCGGGAGAAAGAGGCAGUCCAGCGGCAGGGGCCACCAGCACAGGCUCUCCUCCUCACAGAAGCCGGGAGCUGGUCAUCCAAGAAGAAGCAGCCUCGUUUGUUUCGGGUGUCAUCGUAGGUGUCCACCUUUGGCUUUGGGGCUUCUUGCCUGGGACAGGUGGGUGCUCCACCUCCCUUCCCCUCCCUUCUUCCUCAAGGGCACCAGAGCCGUAUCCAGAACCAUGGACAGCUCCCAGGCGCACCCGGAGAUGAAGGUUCAGCCAUCGACAGACCAUACAGGCAGGGAGGUUGGUACAUCCAGAGUCUCUGGGCAAGGUUGUGCCAGUGAGUCCCUUAUACUUAACCCUCUCCCCGCCCCCCAAGCUCUCCUGUCCCUCACCUAUAGCCAAGGCCAUCCUAUGCCUUUU